rnacentral:rRNA from 1 species
GCAUAUCAAUAAGCGGAGGAAAAGAAAGUAACACGGAUUCCAUCAGUAACGGCGAGUGAAGCGGGAAGAGCUCAAAUUUAAAAUAUGGUUUGCUUGCAAGCGCGAGUUGUAGUCUGAAGAAACGUUUUCCAUAAGCAUUGAGGCAAAAGUCCCGGGAACAGGGCAUCAUAGAGGGUGAGAAUUCCGUCCAUCGUGUCAAGUUGUUUAAUUUGCGAUACGUUUUCAAAGAGUCAGGCUGUUUGGGAAUCCAGCAUAAAAUGGGCGGUAAAUUUCAUAUAAAGGUAAAUUUUGGCGAGAGACCGAUAGCGAACAAGUUCCGUGAGGGAAAGAUGAAAAGAACUUUGAAAAGAGAGUUAAACAGUACGUGAAAUUGUUGAAAGGGAACCGC